UACGUAGGGGGCAAGCGUUGUCCGGAUUUAUUGGGCGUAAAGAGCGUGUGAGGCGGCUAUACAGGUCCGCUGUGAAAACUCGAGGCUCAACCUCGAGACGUCGGUGGAAACCGUAUGGCUAGAGUCCGGAAGAGGAGAGUGGAAUUCCUGGUGUAGCGGUGAAAUGCGCAGAUAUCAGGAAGAACACCCGUGGCGAAGGCGGCUCUCUGGGACGGUACUGACGCUGAGACGCGAAAGCGUGGGGAGCGAACAGG
rnacentral:rRNA from 1 species